rnacentral:misc_RNA from 1 species
GUGAAUCAUCGAAUUUUUGAACGCAAAUUGCACUCUCUUCGGAGAGUAUGCCUGUUUGAGGGUCAGCCUAAAAAAAAUCGACAUAGUCGCUGUUUUCCCGUUGACUUUCUCGGGAAAUGGGUUAAUCUUAAACUUUUGGGUUUUAAGCGGCUUAAAAUUUCCUUUACGGAUCCCCCAAAGUUUUCUAGGUUUAACUUUUAACAC